AGUGACAUUGGGUCACUUUGAUGGCCUCCUUCCAUCAGAGAGCUCUAAUGUCACUUA
rnacentral:pre_miRNA from 1 species